UGCAGCCGAGUUUAGCCGAACAGCCGAAAACAGCCGAGGCCUGACGAAAAGGGACGAGUUUAGCCGAAGAGCCGAACCCACCCGAGUUUAGCCGACUUCUGCUGCAUCGAGCCGAGCGCAGCCGCGCUCAGCCGAACCCAGCGAGCUGCGCCGAACCGAGCUGAGGUCAGUGGGUUUCGGUGCCGGAACUGGGGGAAGUGGAAUCGAGGUGAGGCUUAAAAAACAAACGGAACUCGAGCAAAAAGGACAAGAGCUGCCAGAGGAGCUGCCAUGACUCCAGUGUCAUUGGUGAGGCAGUUUCUGCUCUGAGGAGUUUUUGAACGCUGCUCAACAGCAACAGACCUCAUCCUGCAUGUUUGAAGACUGUAGCUGCUGAAAGGCUGAGGUGAGACCAGGAUCUGCAGUCCCUGACUCUCCGUGUCUUGCUGAGGCUGAAGCCACGUUUGCUGUCAAUGACGACUUAGUGGAAGAUGCUAAAGACUGAAAACUUGUGGGUUUUUUCCCUGAAUGUCAAGACUCUCUCUGCAGCUGUGCCCUGUACAGCUCUUAAAAGAGCUUUUGGGUUUAGAAGGGGUUUUCCAUUCUGCAAUAUUUAUCCAUAACUCAAUAAAAAAGAGUCAUACUGUA